GUGGUGCAGAAGAAAUCAGAGUAUCAAGAGUCUCCUCCGGUCUCAAGAUCCUUAAGGUUUUGUCUGGCCAUGACAAGUUUCAUGAGAUCUAUGUUCUCGACAGAGAGGUUAUAAUGAUAGCUGGAGCAUCUAGAUAUCUCGAGCCUUUUCAAUUUC